GUGGACUUUCAGGGGCUCAAAGUUGGCGAUUUUUUGCUUAACCGUGAGUGUAAAAGGACUAGGGCGAGAGUGCCUUAAACGCCGGAUGUGACGUCAAACCGGGAACUGAUCAAAACAAAAUACAUAUGAUUUGCUAUAGUUUCUUGAUAAAAUCAUGAUAAAAUCGAGUAUAAAUUAGAUGUUUCUGGAAAUUUCCUCGAUAUUUCGAUUGAAAUUUAAUUGGGCUAUAUCCUUAACCUUCGGUUAUCCAACUGACAGGCAAAUUGGGCGAGAUACUAAUUUUAUGGCUGAGUGUGCAGGUCAAACACGUAUACGCUGAUGCUAAUCUAUCUUGAUUUUAUAUACAGAAAUGUCGGGACAAAACGGCAAGGAACUGUAGGCUGUUGUUAAACCCAAUCCAGGAGAAUCUAUUCUCUUUGUCAAUACAUGCCAGAUUGCAAAUUAUUGUGGGCAAAACACCUCGUCCAGGACCAAUAGAAGUGGCUGAAACCGCCGGUUUGCUUUGAAUUUGGGCGUCAUAGCCGCGUCAGGAUGUACCGUAAAUAAUUUUGUGAAAAAGUAGGUAAUACGAAUUUUAUAUGAUUUAAAAAGAGAAAUUCUGAAGGCAAAGUGAACUUGUUUUAUUAUAUCGACAUGUAUUCAUGAAUUACUGUAAAUUUAAAGUUGAUAUUUGAAUAAAUUCGUGAAUUAUUAUUAAGCUAGUCUUGCAAAAUCGCCUAAAUGUAAGAUGUAUUAUAUAUUGUGUUCUAAUUGACCAUUUGCGUAAUAGACUAAAUUUUGAUCUAGACAAAAAUUUCAUCACAGCUUGAAAGAGCAUCACAAAAUUAGUAAUAUUCCAAAAUUUGGUUGCGAAAUGUUGUAAAAUGCGGAUAAUAUAGCCUUGCGAAGUUUGCAAUUUUCAGUCAUUUUAGAUUACAAACGGGAAAUUUGUCGCCCGAACGCUUUGAGCUGUCAAUUUCCCGUUUG